rnacentral:rRNA from 1 species
GAACGCAAAUCGGGAAGCCCGCAAGGGUUUCUCGAGGAGAGUGGCGGAAGGGUGAGGAACACGUGAGCAAUUUACCUUUAAGUUGGGGAUAACCUGCCGAAAGGCGGGCUAAUACCGAAUGUGAUGGUGCCGCAUAAGCGGCAUUAAUCAAAGGCGGGGAUCUUCGGACCUGUCGCUUAUUGAGAAGCUCGCGUCCCAUCAGCUAGUUGGUGAGGUAACGGCCCACCAAGGCUUACGGGUAACUGGUCUGAGAGGAUGGUCAGUCACACUGGGACUGAGACACUGCCCAGACUCCUACGGGAGGCUGCAGUCGAGGAUCA